CACCCGAGACUGGAAAGUCAGUACCAAAACGACGGAAAAGGCGGGAACGCAUACAGCAGUCCAGCCAAUCAACAAAACUGCAGAAAAUUGCAUCUUCUACGAAACGGCUUCUUCUUUUUGUCUUACUGUUCAUGGCCCUUCUUGCGGCCAUAUAUUAUGGCUACAAGGGUCUUUUAUGGCUCAAUGACUGGAUGAAUGAAGUUGAUGAGCGAAGACGAAGAAGAUAUUCUCGAAUCUCAUAAAGUACAGUGGUUAAUUUUAUCCGCCCAUGAGGAUGAAGUGACCCAACAUGCUCGAAAGUACGCGUUAGAUUCUGAGGACAUAAUGAUGCAAGUUGGUUUUAUUAUAGGAGCUUUUUCUUUUAUUAAAAAAAAGAGUCUUGAAGAAAGUUUAUGUCUGUUAUACCGAGUUGAUAGUCUUCAAUAAAUAUUGGAAGUUUUGAAGUGUCCUACUGUGAUUAUCAUGAACUUAAAGAUGGAAUGCCUUUCUAGUUUUGAUGUUAA